ACGGGUGAGUAAUGUCUGGGGAUCUGCCCGAUAGAGGGGGAUAACCACUGGAAACGGUGGCUAAUACCGCAUAACGUCGCAAGACCAAAGAGGGGGACCUUCGGGCCUCUCACUAUCGGAUGAACCCAGAUGGGAUUAGCUAGUAGGCGGGGUAAUGGCCCACCUAGGCGACGAUCCCUAGCUGGUCUGAGAGGAUGACCAGCCACACUGGAACUGAGACACGGUCCAGACUCCUACGGGAGGCAGCAGUGGGGAAUAUUGCACAAUGGGCGCAAGCCUGAUGCAGCCAUGCCGCGUGUAUGAAGAAGGCCUUCGGGUUGUAAAGUACUUUCAGCGGGGAGGAAGGCAGUGAGGUUAAUAACCUUACUGAUUGACGUUACCCGCAGAAGAAGCACCGGCUAACUCCGUGCCAGCAGCCGCGGUAAUACGGAGGGUGCAAGCGUUAAUCGGAAUUACUGGGCGUAAAGCGCACGCAGGCGGUCUGUUAAGUCAGAUGUGAAAUCCCCGGGCUUAACCUGGGAACUGCAUUUGAAACUGGCAGGCUUGAGUCUCGUAGAGGGGGGUAGAAUUCCAGGUGUA
rnacentral:rRNA from 1 species